rnacentral:rRNA from 1 species
GACUCCACGAAGUUGGAUUCGCAGUAAUCGCGCAUCAGCCAUGGCGCGGUGAAUACGUUCCCGGGCCUUGUACACACCGCCCGUCAAGCCAUGGGAGCCGGGGGCGCCUGAAGUCCGGGACCGCGAGGACCGGCCUAGGGCGAAACUGGUAACUGGGGCUAAGUCGUAACAAGGUACC